rfam:Tessaracoccus flavus strain RP1T, complete genome.
UCUGGUCCUCGGUAGUGGUUUUCGGGUGCCGAACACGGUCCCCCGCGAGCCUCGAUCGAAGACCGGC